GACGAACGCUGGCGGCGUGCCUAAUACAUGCAAGUCGAGCGAAGUUUUUCUGGUGCUUGCACUAGAAAAACUUAGCGGCGAACGGGUGAGUAACACGUAAAGAACCUGCCUCAUAGACUGGGACAACUAUUGGAAACGAUAGCUAAUACCGGAUAACAGCAUUAACUGCAUGGUUGAUGUUUAAAAGUUGGUUUUGCUAACACUAUGAGAUGGCUUUGCGGUGCAUUAGCUAGUUGGUGGGGUAAAGGCCUACCAAGGCGACGAUGCAUAGCCGACCUGAGAGGGUGAUCGGCCACACUGGGACUGAGACACGGCCCAGACUCCUACGGGAGGCAGCAGUAGGGAACCUUCCGCAAUGGGCGAAAGCCUGACGGAGCAACGCCGCGUGAGUGAAGAAGGAUUUCGGUUCGUAAAGCUCUGUUGUUAGGGAAGAAUGAUUGUGUAGUAACUAUACACAGUAGAGACGGUACCUAACCAGAAAGCCACGGCUAACUACGUG
rnacentral:rRNA from 1 species